CGCGUGGGAACAUACCCAACACUACGGAAUAGCCUCGGGAAACUGAGAGUAAUACCGUAUACGCCCUUCGGGGAAAGGAUUUAUCGGUGAUGGAUUGGCCCGCGUUAGAUUAGAUAGUUGGUGGGGUAAGUGGCCUACCAAGUCUACGAUCUAUAGCUGGUUUGAGAGGAUGAUCAGCAACACUGGGACUGAGACACGGCCCAGACUCCUACGGGAGGCAGCAGUGGGGAAUCUUAGACAAUGGGCGCAAGCCUGAUCUAGCGAUGCCGCGUGAGUGACGAAGGCCUUAGGGUCGUAAAG
rnacentral:rRNA from 1 species